GACGAACGCUGGCGGCGUGCCUAAUACAUGCAAGUAGGACGCAGUUGCGAACGGGUGAGUAACGCGUAGGUAACUACCUAUUAGAGGGGGAUAACUAUUGUAAACGAUAGCUAAUACCGCAUACUAGUAGAUGGACCUGCGUUGUAUUAGCUAGUAGGUGGGGUAAUGGCCUACCUAGGCAACGAUACAUAGCCGGCCUGGAGAGGGGGACGGCCAAAAUGGGAAUGGGGCACGGCCCAGACUCCUACGGGGAGCAGCAAGAGGGGAACUUCGGCAAUGGGGGGAACCCUGGCCGAGCAAAGCCGCGUGGGUGGAGAAGGUUUUCGGGUCGUGAAACUCUGUUGUUAAGGGAGCGGUACUUAACCAGAAAGGAACGGCUAACUACGUGCCAGCAGCCGCGGUAAUUC
rnacentral:rRNA from 1 species